GAGAUGUUGGGUUAAGUCCCGCAACGAGCGCAACCCUUGUCUUUAGUUGCCAUCAUUAAGUUGGGCACUCUAGAGAGACUGCCAGGGAUAACCUGGAGGAAGGUGGGGAUGACGUCAAAUCAUCAUGCCCCUUAUGCUUAGGGCUACACACGUGCUACAAUGGGUAGUACAGAGGGUUGCCAAGCCGUAAGGUGGAGCUAAUCCCUUAAAGCUACUCUUAGUUCGGAUUGUAGGCUGAAACUCGCCUACAUGAAGCUGGAGUUACUAGUAAUCGCAGAUCAGAAUGCU
rnacentral:rRNA from 1 species